rnacentral:rRNA from 1 species
GUUGCCUCGGCGGAUCAGCCCGCUCCCGGUAAAACGGGACGGCCCGCCAGAGGACCCCUAAACUCUGUUUCUAUAUGUAACUUCUGAGUAAAACCAUAAAUAAAUCAAAACUUUCAACAACGGAUCUCUUGGUUCUGGCAUCGAUGAAGAACGCAGCAAAAUGCGAUAAGUAAUGUGAAUUGCAGAAUUCAGUGAAUCAUCGAAUCUUUGAACGCACAUUGCGCCCGCCAGUAUUCUGGCGGGCAUGCCUGUUCGAGCGUCAUUUCAACCCUCAAGCCCUCGGGUUUGGUGUUGGGGAUCGGCGAGCCCUUGCGGCAAGCCGGCCCCGAAAUCUAGUGGCGGUCUCGCUGCAGCUUCCAUUGCGUAGUAGUAAAACCCUCGCAACUGGUACGCGGCGCGGCCAAGCCGUUAAACCCCCAACUUCUGAAUGUUGACCUCGGAUCAGGUAGGAAUACCCGCUGAACUUAAGCAUAUCAAUAAGC